rnacentral:rRNA from 1 species
AUGAACGCUGGCGGCGUGCCUAAUACAUGCAAGUCGAGCGAACAGACGAGGAGCUUGCUCCUCUGACGUUAGCGGCGGACGGGUGAGUAACACGUGGAUAACCUACCUAUAAGACUGGGAUAACUUCGGGAAACCGGAGCUAAUACCGGAUAAUAUAUUGAACCGCAUGGUUCAAUAGUGAAAGACGGUUUUGCUGUCACUUAUAGAUGGAUCCGCGCCGCAUUAGCGAGUUGGUAAGGUAACGGCUUACCAAGGCGACGAUGCGUAGCCGACCUGAGAGGGUGAUCGGCCACACUGGAACUGAGACACGGUCCAGACUCCUACGGGAGGCAGCAGUAGGGAAUCUUCCGCAAUGGGCGAAAGCCUGACGGAGCAACGCCGCGUGAGUGAUGAAGGUCAUCGGAUCGUAAAACUCUGUUAUUAGGGAAGAACAAAUGUGUAAGUAACUAUGCACGUCUUGACGGUACCUAAUCAGAAAGCCACGGCUAACUACGUG